AAUCUCUCUAAUAUCAUUCAGAAUAUGAGAAAAAAGAAGAACUGUUUACUGAUCAUGUUUCAGCUGUUCAUGUGGAUGGUGUGAUUAAAGAUGAAGACUCACCAGCGGCAGAAGCUAUUGGCCUGACAUCAUUUAAAGGACUCUGAACCAUUAUGUCAGCAAUCAACAUCAUGAUGGAGUUUCUAUAUUUGCACUGAGGCAGCUACUGUAAAUGGCAUGCUUGUAUCAAAAAAGAUUGCAUUAGCACGGCACUUUGUCUAGUACGAAUAACGAAGAGCAAGAAGUGAAA